rnacentral:lncRNA from 1 species
AAAAUAAGUUAAAAGUAUUUACCUUUGCAAGUAUAGUCCUUAAUUGAUUAAAUCAUAGAUAGCUUUUACUGGGCUCCUAUUCUGGAACGAAGGUUUUAAAAUAACCUAUUAGAAUUCUAACGGGUCUUUAUAUUGGCCGUAGCCUUGACCGGUCAGUUUCAAAGGAUAGAUACGGUUUAAUUGCGUGAAAGGCGAAAACCGGGAAUGGAAUGUGAUUCUGACCCAACAAGCUUGUUUUAUAUGGGUUUAAUAUUCACACUCUGGAUUUUGGGGUCAAAACGAUAUGGUUUGACCCGUAUCGGCUAAUUUAUGUAAACUAGUUACAUAAGCCGAACCGUGCGCGCAAAAGGCGUAACGGGUAACCGUAAGAGUCCUACGCUGUGUUCCUAAGUCAAUAUACUUUAAAGAGGUUGUGGUAUCAGUAGGAUACCUUCCAUAAUACCCGUAACGAGUUUAAGUUCAUUAUACGCCCCGUAGG